CAACAGGCUGUUCUUUUCCUGCUCUGUUAGCUAUUUGAUAGGCAGAGGGAUAUAUUACCGCCGUCUGAUUGCUUUACAAGCCGUUGGCACCAGACCGUCUGCCUCAGGUUUCUGAGAAAGAGAAGACUGACUGUUAGUGGGAUGCCCUGACAAUACACCUACCGCACAGUGGAAACAGAACCCAAACGAGGCCGUUUUCCAGAACUUCCUGGAGUUCUGUUCCCUGAAAUUCCAAGAGUCCUGCCGGAAAUCCAACAUGAGGCAACAGGCCGCCCCCCCGAAAGGGUCGCAGAGUGUGAAUAAGUCCACAGAGCGAACAUGGCUGAGGCCGACAGACGGACUGAGUCAGCGCCACAUUCCAGUGGAGUCAACCAUCCACUUUACCCUCCGCACACGCACCCCUCCGCACACACACACACACCCACACACACCCACACCACACACACACAUGCAUCACCUCUUUAUACGCUUUUUCUCUUGCACACAGCACACUUUACAGGUGUGCCAGGUUUAUACCAUCCACUUUAUCCUGACAAAAUAAUACCCCUUUGCUGUAAUCCAAACCACAGAUCACUCAGUCUGUGUUACUCAUCUGCACAUACACACUGUUUGCUCAUCUCUCUUUUUAUUUCAGACUCAGUCUUGUUGUUGCUGUCCAAAUGCAAACGUGUGAAGUUUGAGAUCUUUUAGAUACAAAGAGAGAGAGAGCUCCUUCCUUCUUUUUUUACCACUGUAGCCUCCUGGUUUGUCCACUCUCUCUCCCAGUACAAGAGAGCUGCCACAUGACAAAGUCUGGGUAUCUCACAGUGUGCUAUCUCGCUCUCUACCACACAAACACUGAUCAACACCAGCCAUACAGCAGGCUGGCGUCUGAAAACCCUCGCACCUUUCCGACAGUCGAAUUAGAGCGGGGAGCGACAUUCACACCCCUGCUUCGUGCUGUGAUUGACCUGCUGUGCAGAGGUGAGAGAGGAGCCACUAUUUCUGUCGCUUUUCAUGUGAACGACCUCUCCUGCCUCUGUACGAUGGUCUGCUUUUCACUAGUUCUGUUUGAUCAUAACCCGACCCUAUAAUGCGUGGCCGGAGGUAGGUGGACACUGGCUGCUUGGUCAGAUCUUUGAACAGGCCUGUCCAUUUGUUUAUGGUCUUUGCUUUAAAGGGCAGGUUCACAAUAUUUCAAGUCUGUCUUUAACCAGAUCGCACAUGUCCAUUUGUACCUUGAGGGCAUGAUUGGUCACUUUAAUCGUUGUUCCUUCUUGUCCAUACUGGACUCAAAGUGACCCCUUCCUAAAGCUAAUUUAGUGUAAGUGACGGGCAUUUUUCAAGCCUAUUAAGAUAGUUGUCUCUUUAUACUUCUGGUCACAUGGUGUACUUGACUCUUACUCCUUCUUUCCCACUUAAAGCAGCACUGUGUAACUUUUGCUGAGCGGCGACAACAGUGGCGUCUGCAGCCCCGAGUGGUAAUUACACAACAGAGGCACAUUAAACUCUGUUCCACUCACUCCACCAGGAGUGGGAACAAAAGAGCCGCCAUCCCUAUUACAAGUCAGUGCACCAUUAAAAUGAUUAAGAUGAAUUAUCUGCAUAAUGUUGCUGUAAAGUGAAACUGAGUGCAGUGCAGUCGAUCCAGUCCAAUACAGUAAAAGACACGUACUGUAGAAAUAUUUACAUAAACUCAUUGUCCUGUGUAUACAAAUAUAUCAAUGUGUAAUUUUAACAUUAUUUUAAAAAGCACUGGUAAAAUCUGCAACUGAA